rnacentral:misc_RNA from 1 species
GAUGAAGAACGUAGUGAAAUGCGAUAAGUAAUGUGAAUUGCAGAAUUCAGUGAAUCAUCGAAUCUUUGAACGCACAUUGCGCCCCCUGGUAUUCCGGGGGGCAUGCCUGUCCGAGCGUCAUUACAACCCUCAAGCUCAGCUUGGUGUUGGGCCCCGCCGCUCCGGCGGGCCCUAAAGUCAGUGGCGGUGCCGUCCGGCUCCGAGCGUAGUAAUUCUUCUCGCUCUGGAGGUCCGGUCGUGUGCUCGCCAGCAACCCCCAAUUUUUUUCAGGUUGACCUCGGAUCAGGUAGGGAUACCCGCUGAACUUAAGCAUAUCAAUAAGCGGAGGA